UGGGAAUUUUGGACAAUGGGCGCAAGCCUGAUCCAGCCAUGCCGCGUGCGGGAAGAAGGCCUUCGGGUUGUAAACCGCUUUUGUCAGGGAAGAAAUCUUCUGAGUUAAUACCUCGGGAGGAUGACGGUACCUGAAGAAUAAGCACCGGCUAACUACGUGCCAGCAGCCGCGGUAAUACGUAGGGUGCAAGCGUUAAUCGGAAUUACUGGGCGUAAAGCGUGCGCAGGCGGUUUUGUAAGACAGAGGUGAAAUCCCCGGGCUCAACCUGGGAACUGCCUUUGUGACUGCAGGGCUUGAGUGCGGCAGAGGGGGAUGGAAUUCCGCGUGUAGCAGUGAAAUGCGUAGAUAUGCGGAGGAACACCGAUGGCGAAGGCAAUCCCCUGGGCCUGCACUGACGCUCAUGCACGAAAGCGUGGGGAGCAAACAGGAUUAGAUACCCUGGUAGUCCACGCCCUAAACGAUGUCAACUGGUUGUUGGGAAGGUUCCUUCUCAGUAACGUAGCUAACGCGUGAAGUUGACCGCCUGGGGAGUACGGCCGCAAGGUU
rnacentral:rRNA from 1 species